GCCUGGGUGGCUCAGUCGGUUGGGCGUCUGACUUCGGUUCAGGCCAUGAUCUCACAGCUGGUGAGUUCGAGCCCCACGUCAGGCU
rnacentral:tRNA from 1 species